GGCUCAGCAGGCUGAAUGGUGUUUCCAGCCAGGGGACUCGUGAGGGGAAGGGGCAGGAGGAAGAGUGAGGAGGGCGUCUAACGUCGGGAUUAUGCCACCUUCGGCCCGAGGACGUGUGCAGGAGAGCAGAGGAAACCCAGGGAAGCAGCUGUGGGUAAAUUCAUGACGUUAACGGAACGAGGGGCCACAGAGCACCCAGCACAGGGAAUGAAAGCGGCCACACCGACCAAGCAGACCACGUGGACACAGUUCAGAGCUCCGGGGCAGGGAUGGGCCAGAGCCCCGCCUGGCAUCUCACCGGAACACCCAAGAGACAUCAGACCCCAAUGUGGCCCCACAGAAGCUCAGAAGCCGACUGUCCUGCCAGCUCUGCUGUGGCCACCCAGACCAGGAGGGCCUUGUUCUCACCUGGAUUCCUUAGAGGCCCAACCCAGUGGCUGGAGCUGCCCCAUCAAAGCUGAGUCGGAUCCUGCUCAGAACCCACAGGGGGCCCUGCUGAAGCCCUGGCUGUGGCCACCAGGCCCCCGAGCCCCACCCUCUUCCCCUCCAGCCUUGUUUCCUAUGACUCCUGGGAAUCCUGGCCUGGCAGGCAGGGGCAGGCCACCCCCAGAAAGACAGUGGACAGAGUCCUGUGUGUUUACCAUGUUGAGAGGAGAUUUGAACAGUGAAAGCAGAGUUAGGGAUAGAUGACGAAUACUUAGAAAACUAAUCAGGAAACAGAGACUAAAUGCUGGGAACACAGGAGAAUGUUUCCCACGUGACCCUGCUGCUCUAGGAGGCUCAGUUGUCCCCACCAUUUACAAAGUGCUAGAACAACAUCUGUAGUGUAGCCGUCAGCACGCAAAACUGCCACUGAUCGAACACAAUUUACCGUGGACUACGGGAGGGACGUGGGGUGGAAGGUGUGGGGCGUGGCCUGGGCGGGCCUGGCAGGAGGCCAUGCAGACCUCCAGGGAUCCCCAUGGCGUAAACACGGAGAUUCAGAACGAGGGUGCACCUCUGGUGAGCAGGAAAGGGAAGGGUAGUUCUUUAAACUGUGUGGAUACAUAACAGAUAAGAAUAAAAGUUAAACCACACUAUGGAAUAGUUUUCA
rnacentral:lncRNA from 13 species